rnacentral:lncRNA from 1 species
GAAAUCCUUAAAAUCCUUAAAAUAAUGGUUAUUUUGUGUGGUCCUUGUCUGCUUCAGUAAGAAACUUGCUUCCAUAGUAAUUCAAAUAACUGUAAAUAUGCACAUCCCUCACAGCAUUGACAGGGAAAAUUUCAGUUGAUUUUCUGCCUUGAAAUUAACCUUUUACUAUCGCAUGCGUAUGUUUGUCAUUUAUCCCCUUUUUCUCAGGUGCAAAGAGGGCUACCAAGGAGUCCGCUGUGACCAAUUUUUGCCGAAAACCGACUCAAUCUUGUCAGAUCCAACAGACCAUUUAGGAAUUGAAUUUAUGGGAGAAGAGGCUCCAAAUGCCAGAGCUGCGCCAUGUUUAUGCAGCCGCAGUGAAUCACCGUUACUUAUCCUUUGCUGCUUUGAGGUGUCACGUAUGUGUCAAGUCUCAUCCAGAAAAAGAUGCAAGGAUUCGGAAAGCAUAAGAAUGAGCAGAGACAGCAUCCUGCCAGUAAUUGGUGGAAGAAGAGGAGAAGGGAGCUGUACGAUAUUGACAUGUGAAGAUGUGCAAAGCCAUUAUUCCUGCUCUGGUUGAUUAUUUUAAUAAAGUUACUUUCUUAAUAACUG